rnacentral:lncRNA from 1 species
ACAGUGAGAGUUUAAAAUUUUUUUUAACUUAUUACAGUAAAAGACACAUUGCUGUUAAUCCCCCUCAGGAUAUUCUCUCUUGCUUGAAACACACUUAACCCAAUGUUCUUCUCACUUUCUGAAGCAGUUCUGGAUGUCUUCUUGCAUGAGUGUCUUUACGAAGACAUGUAAAAAAUACAGUGAAUGCUGCUGCUGAGCACCAUCCAGUGAAAAGGUGGGCUUGUACCAACAUGGCCAUUCUCAUCUACCUUAUUCACCAGAUCUGGCACCAUGUGACUUCUGGCUCUUCCUCAAAGUCAGAAUGACCAUGAAAGAACCCAAACUCAGGACCUUGUGCUUGCCAGGCAGGCAUGGCACCCCUGAGCUACAUCCUCGACUCACCAUACUCUUCAAUCUCACCACAUAAGAGAUCUCACAGGCCUGAAGGGAAGGGGCUGAGCUGAACCCAGGAUCUCUGUCCCUACAGCCCGUGCCGCUAAUUCUACCCUCUAUUACCUGUACUGUGAAAAACUGGACAGUUUGAUCCCCAGUACAAAAAAAAAAGCUGGACAGAAAAAAAAAUUGGGUCCAAGAAGGAAAAGAAUGUUCACUGGCUGACUUCCGGUGCAGAGA